rnacentral:rRNA from 1 species
GACGAACGCUGGCGGCGUGCUUAAUACAUGCAAGUCAACUGAAGCAGUGGUAUCAAUAUCGCUGUGGAGGUGGCGCACGGGUGAGUAACACGUAGGUAAUCUGCCUUCGGGUCUGGCAUAACUCCGGGAAACCGGGGCUAAUAGCAGAUGAUGCAGCGGCUCGACAUCGAGACAGUUGUUAAAGCUAUGGCGCCGGAAGAUGAGCCUGCGUCUGAUUAGCUAGUUGGCGGGGUAACGGCGCACCAAGGCAACGAUGAGUAGCUGGUCUGAGAGGCUGAUCAGCUACACUGGAAACGAGACACGGUCCAGAAUGGUACGGGGGGGAGCAGUAAGGAGUACUGCUCAAUGGGAGAAAACCUGAAGCAGCAACGCCGCGUAAGGGACGAUGGGCUUUUGCUUGUAAACCUCUGAAGUGAGAGAAAAAAACCCGAAUCUUUGGGACAUGAUGGUAUCUGAAUAGUAAGCCCCGGCUAACUACGUG